rnacentral:rRNA from 1 species
GACGAACGCUGGCGGCGUGCUUAACACAUGCAAGUCGAACGGUAAGGCCCUUCGGGGUACACGAGUGGCGAACGGGUGAGUAACACGUGGGUGAUCUGCCCUGCACUUCGGGAUAAGCCUGGGAAACUGGGUCUAAUACCGGAUAGGACCACUGCCUGCAUGGGUGGUGGUGGAAAGCUUUUGCGGUGUGGGAUGGGCCCGCGGCCUAUCAGCUUGUUGGUGGGGUGAUGGCCUACCAAGGCGACGACGGGUAGCCGGCCUGAGAGGGUGACCGGCCACACUGGGACUGGGAUGCGGCCCAGAGUCCUACGGGAGGCAGGAGUGGGGAAUAUUGCACAAUGGGCGCAAGCCUGAUGCAGCGACGCCGCGUGAGGGAUGACGGCCUUCGGGUUGUAAACCUCUUUCAGCACCGACGAAGCGCAAGUGACGGUAGGUGCAGAAGAAGGACCGGCCAACUACGUGCCAGCCGCCGCAGUAA